GUUGUGGUUAAUAAAAAUAAUUUUAGUGGAGUUAUAAUAGUAUUUUGUAAAGAAUAUAAAAGGUUAAUUUAUAGAUAAUUUGUACUGUAAAGGGUUUAUGAAAAAAAAUUGAAAUAAUUUUUUAAGAAAGUAAAAUUAAUUUUGUACCUUGUGUAUCAGGGUUUAUUUAAUUUGUAAUUAUUUAUUUAAUUAUCUCGAAUUGAAAAGUGUGAGAAUUAUAAAUAUUUUAAUGUAGUAAAAUUAAUAUUUAAUAUGAUUCUUGUAAUGAAAUGUUAGUCGAUUUUUAGGAUAUCUAGUUUUCUAAGAAUUUAAUUUAAUUAAUUUGUGUUAUAGUAUAUUUUUUGUGAUUAAAUUAUUUAUUUAAUACAAUUAAGGCCUUUGGGGAUAAGCUGGAAGGUUAAUUUAUUAUAAAUAGUGGAAUUGAUAUUUAAUUUUAUAGGCUUUAAAUUAGCUUUUGUUUUGAAGUUGUUAUAAAUUUAUUAAUAAAAUAUAUUUAUGAUUUUAUAUAUUAUUUUAAUUUGUUUAUUAGGAUGAUGUAAUUAAUAGGCUUGAUAUAAGAAAUUAUGAUGAAAUGAGUAUAAAUUAUUAGGUAAAAUAUUUUAUGUUUGUAAGUUAAUUAUAAGGAAUUAGGCAAUAAAUUUAUUCACAUGUUUAUCAAAAACAUCUCUUUUUGAUUUUAUAAAAAGUAGGGCCUGCCCGCUGAUUUUUGAAGGGCCGCGGUAAUUUGACCGUGCAAAGGUAGCAAAAUCAUUAGUCUUUUAAUUGAAGGCUGGAAUGAAUGGUUUGAUGAGAUAAAGACUGUCUUGACUUUAUGAAAUUGAAUUUAACUUUUUAGUAAAAAGGCUGAAAUAAUAAUGGGGGACGAGAAGACCCUAUAGAGUUUUAUUCAAGAAUAAGUGUAUUAUGUUGAUAUAGGUUGUGAGUGAUAUCACUUAUUUUUAAAUUUUGCUGGGGCGGUAUAAAGAAUUAGUAAACUCUUUAUUUUUAUAACAAUGAUUAGUGGUUGGAUGAUCCUUAUUAUUGAUUAGAAGAUUAAAUUACCUUAGGGAUAACAGCGUAAUUUUUUUGGAGAGUUCAUAUCGAUAAAGAAGAUUGCGACCUCGAUGUUGGAUUAAGGGAAUUUUAAGGUGUAGCAGUUUUAAAAAUAGGUCUGUUCGACCUUUAAAUCCUUACAUGAUCUGAGUUCAGACCGGUGUAAGCCAGGUCGGUUUCUAUCUACAUUAGGAAGGAAGAUUUUAGUACGAGAGGACCAGAUCUUUAAAAUAUUUUUUAAAAAUAAGAGAUGUAAAUUAAUUAAACUAUUUUGGCAGAAAAAGUGUCUU
rnacentral:rRNA from 1 species